CACCCGCGCCUCCCCUUUCCCCCUUUCUCUCUCUGCACUCACUCUCUCUCCCCGAUCCCUUCCCCUCUCCUUCACUCCGCCGGCGAUCUCCCUCCACCUGCCACCGUGCUUGACACCGCCGGUGGCAAAGAGACCGCACGGCCAAGAUACGUCGACCGGUGGUAGCAGCGACCCACCCUAGGCAGGGAAUAAGCAGCGACGACGUCAUAUAACUUCGGCCCCGCCGAUCUCGAUGUCGCCGGCACCAUGCGAGCUAGGAGGCAUUCUGGCGAGCUUCACCCUCACCCCUCGACAUGAAUUCACAGGAGGAGACGUUCGAUUUGGGCUGCAGCGGCGUCAACCACUUCCCAUCGAUUCCGAGACUCCACGGCGACUUCAUUGAGCUCCUCCGGCGAAUCCGACGGUUCAAAACAUCGAUUGAGGUGAUCGUUAAAUCGAGGAAAGGAAUUAGCAUCGCGAAUUGUGGAAUUACGCUCAAGUCAAUAAGGUGAUACUUCCGCAGGUGCUGAGUAGUGGUGAUUGAGUGACGACUCCGAAGACUCGAAGUCGAUCGCAUCCAGUCGUGGUGAUGUUCCAGCGUGGAUUUUGUGUGAGAUUUGGUGUGAUUUUAUUUGUGAGGUUGUUGUGAGGAUUAUACAAUUCCAUUUGUUAUAUGUUGAAUUAUCAUUUGGGUUUGUAAUAAUCGGCUUGACUGAGUUAUAUUUUAAACUCAGAUGUGAUCCGCUGCGACAUUAAAAUGAUUUCGAUUUCAUUGAGAU